GCUGCUGCUUGAACUUGGGGCCGAAGUGCGACCCGAGGACUGCCACGGACAUACUGCUCUCGCUCUAGCUUGCAUGUCAAAACACGAAAAGGUGGUGAGCUGUCUGGCAGAAGCAGCAUUGGGAAAAUCCCUUCACGAUGGAUGGAGUUACCUGCAUCUCGCUGCUGAGUCAGGAGACACGCAGGUGCUGAGAGACUUGAUGUGCGGCUUUGCGGACCCGGCCGCCACGGACGACUGUGGCUGC